rnacentral:rRNA from 1 species
UUAACACAUGCAAGUCGAACGAUGAACCACCUUCGGUGGGGAUUAGUGGCGAACGGGUGAGUACACACGUGGGCAAUCUGCCCUUCACUCUGGGACAAGCCCUGGAAACGGGGUCUAAUACCGGAUAACACUCCUGUCCGCAUGGACGGGGGUUAGAAAGCUCCGGCGGUGAAGGAUGAGCCCGCGGCCUAUCAGCUUGUUGGUGAGGUGAUGGCUCACCAAGGCGACGACGGGUAGCCGGCCUGAGAGGGCGACCGGCCACACUGGGACUGAGACACGGCCCAGACUCCUACGGGAGGCAGCAGUGGGGAAUAUUGCACAAUGGGCGAAAGCCUGAUGCAGCGACGCCGCGUGAGGGAUGACGGCCUUCGGGUUGUAAACCUCUUUCAGCAGGGAAGAAGCGAAAGUGACGGUACCUGCAGAAGAAGCGCCGGCUAACUACGUGCCAGCAGCCGCGGUAAUACGUAGGGCGCAAGCGUUGUCCGGAAUUAUUGGGCGUAAAGAGCUCGUAGGCGGCUUGUCACGUCGGAUGUGAAAGCCCGGGGCUUAACCCCGGGUCUGCAUUCGAUACGGGCUAGCUAGAGUGUGGUAGGGGAGAUCGGAAUUCCUGGUGUAGCGGUGAAAUGCGCAGAUAUCAGGAGGAACACCGGUGGCGAAGGCGGAUCUCUGGGCCAUUACUGACGCUGAGGAGCGAAAGCGU